UAAUACGGAGGGUGCAAGCGUUAAUCGGAAUUACUGGGCGUAAAGCGUUCGUAGGCGGUUCGUUAAGUUAGAUGUGAAAGCCCCGGGCUUAACCUGGGAACUGCAUUUAAAACUGGCGAACUAGAGUUUAGGAGAGGGAAGUGGAAUUUCAGGUGUAGCAGUGAAAUGCGUAGAGAUCUGAAGGAACACCAGUGGCGAAGGCGACUUCCUGGACUAAAACUGACGCUGAGGAACGAAAGCGUGGGUAGCAAACGGGAUUAGAUACCCCGGUAGUCCACGCCGUAAACGAUGUCAACUAGCCGUUGGGCCUAUAUACAGGUUUAGUGGCGGAGCUAACGUAUUAAGUUGACCGCCUGGGGAGUACGGCCGCAAGGUUA
rnacentral:rRNA from 1 species